rnacentral:lncRNA from 1 species
AGAGGUUGGGGAGCCUAGAAACUGUCACCAUGCAGGGCGGUCUCCAAUACCAGAAGAGCAUUUCUGAAGUAAACCCUGGGAGCUAGGGUAGGUUUCUGUGGUGAGUGGCAUAAGCCAACCUAGGACAGUGCCGAGGGCAAUGGCGGGAGUUGCCUAAUAUUGAGACAGAGCCAAGCUGCCGGGAGCGAGGCCGGAGCUUACUGUCUACAAUAUGGGGAGCAGUUAAUAAGGAGGCCAUCACUGACUUCUCAGAGGACGAAAACUGGGCCUUGGGCCCUCUGGAGUCCUCUGGCUUAGUUUUCUUGGUGGGGCUCUUGGCAUGAGGCAGACCCCUAUCAACAUUUUCUUUACUGGUUUUGGCCACCUUUCCAGGUGUAGAGACCGUGGAUGGCUCCGUGUGUGCUUUGCUCUUCAUCUUGGGGUUAAUAGAGUGAAAAAAGAAUUUCAGGUUCUGGGACAAUGGAUUCCUCGCUUUGACUGUCUUCCAUGUCCUGCUCAGAGUCUGUCUCCAUGAAGACUUCUGGAGGUGGGUCUGGGAACUGGAGCUCAGGGGACUCCCGGGGACUGUGUGGACAGGCAUCCUCAAGAUGAAAGGUGUGACCCUGUUGUGAGGAGCCCUGGAGUGGUCUGUGCAGGAGCCUCUUCUCCUGCUCUCCAUCCUGGCGUGUCUUUUGACCGACCAGGGAAAACCCAAGACCUGCGUCCCCUUCUCCAAGGUCCCCCACGACUUUGGAUUUCUCUACGUUGAACCUUUUCCCUCCAGCUUCCAUGUCAACACAGACUUGGGUCUUAUCCCUUUGGGAUUGCGAGGCCUUGGAGCUCUGCUGGGCAGAACUAUGGGGCACUGCUUUGGAAGGAGGAGGCCUUUGCGCCUGACACACAUCCUGUACUGCAGAAGCUGGCUGUUUUUUAGGGUGGACCCCUUUUGCAUUUGGGGCUGGCAGAGAUGGGCAUGCGACAGGCUGUUCCUGAAGCAGUGUGCUCUCUGACAUGUGUAGACUUCUGAGAAAUUCCUGGAUGGAUUCGCUCUCUAGGUCGGCUGUACCCAGCUCCUUGUAUUCUCUCUUUUCCUUUUCAGAAAUCCCAAACUGCAUUGCUAGGAUCUUUUUUUUCAGGUGGAAAUUCAGUUUGGCCAAGAUAUGUGUGUUUAUUGGGUAGGGUCUGCAUGGGGGAGGCUGACUCUCUGCAGGCACCUUCUCUGUCCUUCUGUCCGCCUCUGCUCCAGGCUGGAACUCUUCUGCAGUGUCCGCAGACACCCCACUGUCAUCGUGAGCGCAGGGCUCAAGUGGGGUUAUUUGAGUCAGAGCAUUUGAUGGGCUUUUGACAGCUUUGGGCAUCUUCUCUCUGAGUCUAGGUUGGCUAGUGACUGCUGGGGAUGCAGGCCUAGAGAGAGCUACACAGUAAAGGGCAGGCAGGCCUGACAGGAAGGCCAGAUACUUAUGAUGUAAAGUUGUCUCCAGUUUCUUAAUGGUUUCCUUAGGCAGGGAUUGGGGCUUCUUACAGUGUUCAAAGAGAGUACCAGAUAAGGUUUGUGUCUCCUGGUCACUUUUACUUUCUGCCUGUAACUUCCUGCAUUGGCCUUGUGGAAUCCAAGGGAAGGGAGCCACUGUUGCUAAGCUUCCAGGAAUUUUGCAUUCCCAAGAUUUCCAGACUUGGGCCGGGACCUCGCCCUCCCGGAUCUGUUCACAUUUGGAAUCAACAUGGCUUUUCAACAUUUCCCUUGUCUUGGCAAACAAGUGUGGCAUGGGGAUUGUCCCUUUGCCCGCUGUGAGUGAGAACAUGUCACCAGGCCCAUUGGCCUCUGGUUUCCCGGGCUGUGAGAUGCUCACAUUGGGUAAGCUACUGCUGCCACAGGGCAGGGACUGUGGGUCUGUUGAGGAGAGCAGCAUAUUCAUGGAGCGCUGGAUCCUCUGGGGCAGCCCCCAGCGGAGGUGAAUCAGCUGCUUCUGCAGGUGGAAUUCCAGCAGCCUUCCUGCGUGCUCUGGGAAGAUGUCCCUGGUGGGAUGUAAAAAGGGCUUCCUUGCCAAGGAAGUUUUUACUGUCUUAGCCUCACUGGGUGCUUCACACAGCAUUCAGCGCUGGUUUUGGAGGAGGAGAGCUGGCAGGCCCCACUGAAGCUUGCUGAGUUGUUUCUUUAGGAGGUGGCGUUCCAGUGCUUCACACUCAGCCAGGGACAGGAACAGGACAGUAAUCUGUGCUCCUUCACGCUCACAGGGAGUCUUGCCAUUCAGAGAGGUCGGGGAAGAGGGAAAGGCUGACUUACAUGGUGUUUUGGGUAAGAAAAGGCCUGAGAGUACCCCUGAGGGCUGAGCAUCUGUGGAGGGCUUGGACAUAUCAUUUUUCUUGCAGGUACCUUGAGAACUCAAGGAAGUAACAUCCAAGGACUCACUGUGAAGGGAUGGAAAGGUCCCAAACCGUGAAGAAUCUUUUUUGAUGGUUCUCUGCCGUCACUAAUUUCUUUUACUUCUUUUUCAUUCCAGCCCUUGACUUUCAUAAUUAAAUUGAGAACAUCACAAUUUUUCCCUUAUCGCUUUACCUUUGGCCCCAAAAUAUGAGCCAGGCAGAGUUUGGUGAAGGAACUCAAGCCUGAUCUUUAUCUUUAUUGUAUAAUACACGAGAGACUUCCUUUCUGGUCAAGUGUUUAAUUCACAUUCUAGGUUGGGGUAAGGAAAACUGACUUGUCUGAAGUAAGUUCAAGUCUCCUUCCCAGGAUGAGGGAAUUUUUAUUUCCUUCAUACCUUCUCUUAAUAAUGUACAGCAGAGACAAAGACGACAGACAACUCAUUCGGAGAUAGAAAAUACAUUUUGGGUAGUGCAGUCCCUACCUGUUCAUCAAAGAAAAUGACAAUGCUGUGCUCUUAAAGGGAUACAGAGGUUGGGGAGCCUAGAAACUGUCACCAUGCAGGGCGGUCUCCAAUACCAGAAGAGCAUUUCUGAAGUAAACCCUGGGAGCUAGGGUAGGUUUCUGUGGUGAGUGGCAUAAGCCAACCUAGGACAGUGCCGAGGGCAAUGGCGGGAGUUGCCUAAUAUUGAGACAGAGCCAAGCUGCUGGGAGCGAGGCCGGAGCUUACUGUCUACAAUAUGGGGAGCAGUUAAUAAGGAGGCCAUCACUGACUUCUCAGAGGACGAAAACUGGGCCUUGGGCCCUCUGGAGUCCUCUGGCUUAGUUUUCUUGAUGGGGCUCUUGGCAUGAGGCAGACCCCUAUCAACAUUUUCUUUACUGGUUUUGGCCACCUUUCCAGGUGUAGAGACCGUGGAUGGCUCCGUGUGUGCUUUGCUCUUCAUCUUGGGGUUAAUAGAGUG